UACGUAGGGUGCGAGCGUUAAUCGGAAUUACUGGGCGUAAAGCGUGCGCAGGCGGCGCGUUAAGACAGGUGUGAAAGCCCCGAGCUUAACUUGGGAAUUGCGCUUGUGACUGGCGUGCUGGAGUGUGGCAGAGGGAGGUGGAAUUCCACGCGUAGCAGUGAAAUGCGUAGAGAUGUGGAGGAACACCGAUGGCGAAGGCAGCCUCCUGGGCCAGCACUGACGCUCAUGCACGAAAGCGUGGGGAGCAAACAGG
rnacentral:rRNA from 1 species